rnacentral:rRNA from 1 species
AUUGAACGCUGGCGGAAUGCUUUACACAUGCAAGUCGAACGAUGAACCUUAGCUUGCUAAGGGGAUUAGUGGCGAACAGGUGAGUAAUAUAUCGGAACGUGCCUUGUAAUGGGGGAUAACUAGUCGAAAGAUUGGCUAAUACCGCAUACGCCCUGAGGGGGAAAGUAGGGGAUCUUCGGACCUUACGUUAUAAGAGCGGCCGAUAUCUGAUUAGCUAGUUGGUGGGGUAAUGGCCUACCAAGGCGACGAUCAGUAGCUGGUCUGAGAGGACGACCAGCCACACUGGAACUGAGACACGGUCCAGACUCCUACGGGAGGCAGCAGUGGGGAAUUUUGGACAAUGGGCGAAAGCCUGAUCCAGCCAUUCCGCGUGAGUGAAGAAGGCCUUCGGGUUGUAAAGCUCUUUCGCAAGGGAAGAAAACUUACAUUCUAAUAAAGUGUGAGGCUGACGGUACCUUGAUAAGAAGCACCGGCUAACUACGUGCCAGCAGCCGCGGUAAUACGUAGGGUGCGAGCGUUAAUCGGAAUUACUGGGCGUAAAGCGUGCGCAGGCGGUUUGGCAAGUCAGAUGUGAAAUCCCCGAGCUCAACUUGGGAACUGCGUUUGAAACUGCCAGACUAGAAUAUGUCAGAGGGGGGUAGAAUUCCACGUGUAGCAGUGAAAUGCGUAGAGAUGUGGAGGAAUACCAAUGGCGAAGGCAGCCCCCUGGGAUAAUAUUGACGCUCAUGCAUGAAAGCGUGGGGAGCAAACAGG